CGGGGCGUAGCGCAGCCUGGUAGCGUACAUGCAUGGGGUGCAUGGGGUCGUGAGUUCGAAUCUCACCGUCCCGA
rnacentral:tRNA from 1 species